rnacentral:rRNA from 1 species
GACGAACGCUGGCGGCGCGCUUAACACAUGCAAGUCGAGCGAGAACCGGGGCUUCGGCCCCGGGGACAGCGGCGAACGGGUGAGUAACACGUGAGUAACCUGCCCUCGGCACCGGAAUAGCCCGGGGAAACCCGGAUUAAUGCCGGAUGGCCCCUCUGCCCUGCGGGGCGGCGGGACAAGGUAGCUUCGGCCUCCGGCCGAGGAAGGGCUCGCGGCGGAUUAGCUUGUUGGCGAGGUAACGGCCCACCAAGGCGACGAUCCGUAGCUGGUCUGAGAGGACGAUCAGCCACACUGGGACUGAGACACGGCCCAGACUCCUACGGGAGGCAGCAGUGGGGAAUCUUGCGCAAUGGGCGAAAGCCUGACGCAGCGACGCCGCGUGCGGGAAGAAGGCCCUCGGGUUGUAAACCGCUUUCAGGAGGGACGAAGCCACUCGGGUGAACAGCCCAGAGGGUGACGGUACCUCCAGAAGAAGCCCCGGCUAACUACGUGCCAGCAGCCGCCGUAAUAC